rnacentral:rRNA from 1 species
UAAGUUGAUAGGCCGGGUGUGUAAGCGCAGCGAUGCGUUGAGCUAACCGGUACUAAUGAACCGUGAGGCUUAACCUUACAACGCCGAAG